rnacentral:rRNA from 1 species
GACGGGGGAUGCGAGCGUUAUCCGGAAUGAUUGGGCGUAAAGGGUCCGCAGGUGGCCCGGUCAGUCCGCUGUCAAAGACUGGGGCUUAACCCUGGAAAGGCGGUGGAAACUGAAGCGCUAGAGUGCGGUAGGGGUAGAGGGAAUUCCCGGUGUAGCGGUGAAAUGCGUAGAGAUCGGGAAGAACAUCGGUGGCGAAAGCGCUCUACUGGACCGCAACUGACACUCAGGGACGAAAGCUAGGGGAGCGAAUGGG